GCGCUGCGGCGGUAGGAGGAGGACGGGGAAGGACGGAGCUGAGCCACGGCUACCUCCCUCGCUCUCUCCCUCGCGCGCUCGCCCGCCCCCUCCCUCCCUCCCCUCCCUUCCCCGGCCCCGGCUCCGGCCUCGGCCCGUUCGCUGUUCGGUCUUCUGCAGGGAGAAUGUCGGGCUCGUCGCUCCCCAGCGCCCUGGCCCUCUCGCUGUUGCUGGUCUCUGGCUCCCUCUUCCCAGGGCCAGGCGCCGCUCAGAACGCUGGGUUUGUCAAGUCGCCCAUGUCAGAAACUAAGCUCACUGGGGACGCCUUUGAGCUGUACUGUGACGUGGUCGGGAGCCCCACGCCAGAGAUCCAGUGGUGGUACGCAGAAGUCAACCGGGCAGAGUCUUUCAGACAGCUGUGGGACGGUGCUCGGAAGCGCCGUGUCACCGUAAACACCGCCUACGGGUCAAACGGCGUGAGUGUGCUGAGAAUAACCCGGCUCACCUUGGAGGACUCUGGGACUUACGAGUGCAGGGCCAGCAACGACCCCAAGAGGAAUGACUUGAGGCAAAACCCUUCCAUAACAUGGAUUCGAGCCCAGGCCACCAUAAGCGUCCUUCAGAAGCCAAGGAUUGUCACCAGUGAAGAAGUCAUUAUUCGAGAAAGCCCUGCGCCCUCUGUCACCCUGCAGUGUAACCUCACCUCCAACUCUCACACCCUUACAUACAGCUACUGGACAAAGAAUGGGGUAGAACUGACUGCCACUCGUAAGAAUGCCAGCAACAUGGAAUACAGGAUCAAUAAGCCGAGAGCUGAGGAUUCAGGCGAAUACCACUGUGUAUAUCACUUUCUCAAUGCUCCUAAAGCAAAUGCCACCAUUGAAGUAAAAGCUGCUCCUGACAUCACUGGCCAUAAACGGAGUGAGAACAAGAAUGAAGGGCAGGAUGCCGUGAUGUACUGCAAGUCAGUUGGCUACCCCCACCCAGAGUGGAUCUGGCGCAAGAAGGAGAACGGUAUGCCCGUGGAGAUUGUCAAUACUUCUGGCCGCUUCAUCAUCAUCAACAGGGAAAAUUACACUGAGCUGAGCAUCACAAACCUGCAGAUCACAGAAGAUCCUGGCGAGUAUGAAUGUAAUGCUACCAACUCCAUUGGCUCUGCCUCCGUUGUCACCAUCCUCAGGGUACGGAGCCACCUGGCCCCACUCUGGCCCUUCUUGGGAAUUCUGGCGGAAAUCAUCAUCCUUGUGGUGAUCAUUGUUGUGUAUGAAAAGAGGAAGAGGCCAGAUGAAGUUCCUGACGAUCAUCAGGCAGAUUGAGCUUGAGGAGAAUCCAAGUCAAGCCUAGAAGCCACCCCAAGAUCGCAGGCCACCUGGCCUUUCAGGCAGAUUUAAGGUAUCUGAUUGGUUGUCACAUGGUUGCCUGGUAUAGCCCCUGUAGGUAACUGCCCCAGUCCAGUCAGACUGUUAUUGGGAAAAGCCAUUGGAACAAGCCACUUUUUGGUUCCCUUGGUUGGUCCCUUCAGAAGGUUUUCAAGGUUUGUGGUGAAGCAGGCCCCUGCCAUUUGGCUUUUUUGUCUGUCUCACAGACAAGAAUGGUGGAGAGCAUCUGAUGCAUUACCACCCCCAGUUUAAGACAGAUAGCUAAGCAGUAACCCCUGGAGUCCCUGCCUGAGGUGGCACCCUCAAGCUGGCCCAGGGUCCGAGAAGGGAGUGGAUAAUAGCAGCGGAACCACAGCCAAUAUUAGGCAUUGGAAAGAAUAAGAAUCUUAGAUGGUUAGACAUGCUUAGAGUCAGAAAAGGUCCUGGAAGGUAUGUUUUUUGUUAUGGAUGUUCCAUUUCUAACCCUGUCAUUAUAAUGGGGGGGGACUACUGAUGGAGACUUGCACCAGUAGUACUUCAGAUUCCUCACUAGCUCCCCAGCCCCAUCCUCUUGCCCUAUAACAGCAUCAGCAAAAACAAAUUAAUUGGCCAGCCAACCAUUACCACCACUUGCCUGUCACUGAUUGGACUGGAAGGGUGUGCACCUAAACUCAGUGCCUUGGGUGAUGGGGAGGAUGCCAACUCCAGUCUGACUGUUCUGGGCCUGUGCUUGUGCACUGUGGUGCUGUACCCUGCCCCAGAGAGCUGUCUGUGUCCCUGUGGCUGGCCGGGACCCAGUGCCAGCCAUGUGUGUCAGCGGAGAAUGCUAAGGGAGGUCUGGUGCUCCCUCAGGAAGAGCGCAGCCCUGAAGGCAUGCCGGUGGCUCCAGAGUCUCUGGAAGGACAUGUUUGAGAGCAGCAGCCACCUCCCCUUCUUCUCCUUUCUUCUCAGCAGCUCCUAAGUCUCUGCCUGCACUAGGUAGAGCGAGUAUUGUAGUGAGGCUGGUGGAAAGGUUAUUUGGUGACACUAACGAUGUAUGUGGGGAGACCUGGUGGACUUCCAUCCAAAUGUACAUUCACCAGUAAACUAGAUGGAGGAAUGGGAUGGACGUCAGCUGGAAGCAGAUGGGCCUUUGUAAAUACGUGGGCUCAUGCCCUGCAACAUAAGAGUGUCCUGGGAUUUUUACUUUCUUUCUCCUGGGUCCACAGAACUGCUAUUCUAUGAAGCAAAAGUGCUUUCUUAGGAUUUUCAUAUAUGCAUAAUGCUUUUUUCUCUAAAUUUCUCUUUCUUGUUGCAAAUUAGGACUUCCAAGGCAGAGUACCUCUGUCUAGAUCUGAGAUUAAAGGGGGAGAGUUGCCUGUCAGUGUGUUUUCAGCAUUGGCUUAUUAGGAGCAGUUAUGCCUCACUCCUGAAAAGGGCUGAAUGCUUUUGCUUUGCUAAAUAUCGCCUUUCUCAGCUUUCCCUUUGGAAAGAUUGAGAUGUAAAAAGUCAGUAGGAAAAGGUAAAAAUGGGCUUCAAAACCUGACUUUUUACUUUAAGACAAGGCUGGCUGCCCCUUUCUUGGCAGAGUGACACAUUGGCUUAGCCUGUCCCUGUCAGAGGUUGCCGUUGUCUUUGCAGGAAGCCGCUUCACUUACCCAGGUUGCUAUCCCAGCAUAUGUGGAAGAGACCGUCAGGUUAGAUUUGAGGAAUGGUUAGUAUUGGUUCUGACAAGUGCAGGCACCUGCCCAGGGAAAGGAGCUCUCUUUUUUUUUAAGAGCUCCAUGGCUGUUGAACACAAAUGGGGACGAGUUUGUUAUACGAGACACCUGUGGCCAGCAAAUCUGAACAGCUUCCUGGAGGGAAAAUAUCUCUUUUUAAGAUAAGUUAUUAUAGGCAGUGAAUGAAUCCUAUGUGAAAGAGAUGACUGCAGGGUAAGUGCAAAGUAAAACCUUCUUGCUCUAGUGUCUUAGAAGAAUACUGUAAUGCAAGCAGCUUUUACUUUGUUGUUGUUAUUGAAUUGGGGCGAAAAAUCUGGGAUGCUGGAAUCAUUGCAAUGUUUGCCUUCUCUCUCUUCCCCUCCUGACAGCCAGCACGGUCCAGGCUCCAUUCUCUAUCACAUGCCCUUGCUCGAGCAUUUCCAUCACAUAGUUUUCUUCUUUGUCUUUCUGCCUCUUUUUCUCAGACUCCUCCCUACUCCUGCCCUACCCUUUUUUCUUCUCUCCUGGAAGUAAUUUUUUUUGAAAAUUUGAUUGUUCCUCUGUGAGUUUUCCUUAUGCUGUGUCUUUUUCUUCUUUAGCCAGUUUCCCCUCAACUCCUAUGCAAUUCACAAGAGCAAACUCACUUCAUAUGCUUUCCUCCCAUAUGCCCUUCUUCAAAUUUACCUAUAGAUAUAUGCAUACACUCCUUUUUGGAAUGAAUGAGGAGGUACCUUAUACCUGAUACAGAUUUGGAGUUUUAGAGUUGAUGAAUUUUUACCUGUCAGACAACCGUUCGUAGUUCUGUGUUGACUUAUUUAUACCAUUGUGAAAAUUGAUUUUUGAAAAAAAUAAGCCUGACACGCUUUUUCUCUGCCAAAUGAAUACACUAUUAUCAAGAUAUAGCAGUGAUUUAUUUCUGAGUCACUGGACCUUUUUUAUAUGAAAAAAGUUCAUAUAAAACUCAUAGUAUUCAUAUUUGGGCAGUCUGUGAGUUUUUGGUAACUCGGCGCUGUACUAGAAAAGCACUAAGGGAACAAUACAAAAGUAUAAAAACAUACAAAUUUAAACUUAUGUAGUUUAGCCUGAGUAUGUUUCACUAGAAGAGCAAAUAUUGCUUUAGAUUUCUCACAUAGAAAAUACUUAGAGUUAAGGUUUAGCUGCUUCUAGGGGGAAAAAAAAAAAAGGCCCAUGACUUUUUGUCUACUGGAGUAUACUCAGGACAUUUUGUAAGUGAAACUUACAUCUAAAUCCCUUUCGGUCACUGUUACGGUGUCUUUCAGGAUCGGUGCCCCAGUGGGUUGUCUUGUAGGUAGAUUAUCUGCAUAUCACCUUUAACCUUCAAUGUUUUUAGUAACAGAUGAAUUGUGGAGCCAAGUAAGGGCUUUGUUUUUUCAGUUUACUCACCUCCUGACUACAUUCUCUGAAAAUGUUAAAUGAUAAUUCUCUAAAAAGACUAGAUACAACUAGCAUCCCGCUAGCCUUCCAUCCACCUUACAGCUGGACAUAUGUUUGGAGCUCACCUUGUGUGUUGGUUCCCUGCUGACUGAACCCAGAGAGUGAUUAGUGUGCUUUUAAGUCUUUUCCCAAUACCCUGGUGAGAUCGGGAGUGAACCUGCUUAGUUGCUUGGGCCUUCAGUUCUACUGCACAUUUUACUGACCUUGAAUGAAAACAGUAGGAGCUGAUUUAAGAGAAAUGCUGGCAUCAAAAAGAGUUUUCCAUUAUCACGUUAGGGAGAUAAUUUUAUAAGCAAGUAUAGGUACUCUUCCUUUAAGUUACUGGUAUAAAAGAUAUUUGAGGUUUUGUGGGAACCAUUUUUAGUGGCUGUGAUGUAUCCAAACUCUUUUUAACACUUUAGAAUUAAGAGCUAGUCUAAUGUUCCAAAAUCAGUUAAAUGGUCAAAACAUUGGUAGCAUAUGAAGCUUUACAAGAGGCCAGGAAUGUUGGAAAAGGAAUGGGACUUUUAAAAAUGAUAUGCGAAACACACGUGUUGUCUCUUAACCAGGGGUCAUCUGGGUCAGUAACAAGCUACCUUAUGAAGAAAAUACAAUAGGACUGAAUAAGGAAGGAAAUUGAAAAUAAUUGUUACUCUCUUUUGGGUUUAAUGCUACUCUGCUGAGAUCAGGCAAAAUUUAAGUGGGUUUAGAAACCAUAAAACCUCAUCCUCAGUGAGAUGAAGGCAGUGAAAAAGGAGCUUUGACCAGACAGUCAACUUACUUCGACAUUAAAGCCAUCUUUGUGGAGCUGGUAUUGUAUCAGGUAAUCUGUUAUUUACUAGGCAUUGCAGAGCACCCUUCCAGAUUCUGAGGCGAUGUAGGGGAAUGAGGGCUCUAAGUGCAUUCACUUGGGAAGACAACAUUCAGCUGAAUGAAUCAGUGUGUGCAACAGGUCCACCAGGAACUUCACUCAUAAGAUGGAUUCCAGAAGCAUCUUGUUUCCACUCUCCCCCAGCCCUCUUCCUCUCAUCUAGUCAGUGGCUGUGAGUAAUACCCAGCUGGAGAGAACAGUCAUUGUUUAAGCGGCUGUCUUUUGCCCUGAGGGUUUGGGGGUAUGUUGAUAUUUGCCGGUUACUAUGACUUCUUUUUUUUCCCCCCUCAAUUGCAUCAAACCCUUAAAACAUGGUGACGAUGAACCAGCUGGGCCAAUGAAAACCAACUCUACCAACAAUCACAAAGAUAAAAACUUGCGCCAGAGAAACACAAAUUAAGUA